AAUCAACGCUGGCGGCGUGCCUAACACAUGCAAGUCGAACGCGAAAGUCCCGCAAGGGAUUAGUAGAGUGGCAAACGGGUGAGUAACACGUGGGUGACCUGCCUUCGAGUGGGGGAUAACGUCCCGAAAGGGACGCUAAUACCGCAUGACAUCCUGCCUUUUAACAGGCGGAGAUCAAAGCUGGGGAUCGCAAGACCUAGCGCUUGAAGAGGGGCCCGCGCCUGAUUAGCUAGNGGUGAGGUAACGGCUCACCAAGGCGACGAUCAGUAUCCGGCCUGAGAGGGCGGACGGACACACUGGGACUGAGACACGGCCCAGACUCCUACGGGAGGCAGCAGUGGGGAAUUGUUCGCAAUGGGCGCAAGCCUGACGACGCAACGCCGCGUGGAGGAUGAAGAUCUU
rnacentral:rRNA from 1 species